GACGUAGGGCGCGAGCGUUGUCCGGAUUUAUUGGGCGUAAAGAGCUCGUAGGCGGCUUGUCGCGUCGUUCGUGAAAACCUGCAGCUCAACUGCAGGCUUGCGGUCGAUACGGGCAGGCUAGAGUUCGGUAGGGGAGACUGGAAUUCCUGGUGUAGCGGUGAAAUGCGUAGAUAUCUGGAGGAACACCGGUGGCGAAGGCGGCAUCCUGGACCAAUAUUGACGCUGAGGAGCGAAAGCGUGGGGAGCCGAACAGG
rnacentral:rRNA from 1 species